UUAUACAGUCUUAGAACAAGACAAGAUAUGCAGCACUUUCAGCCACCAGGGACAAAUGAGAGUGAAGUUUGGGAAAUAAAGCUUAGCUGGGUUUUUGUUGUUGUUUUCCUCUCCAGUGACCUCCCUCCACUCAGUUGGAAGACUUGGAGAGAUUUAACAAAGUACAAAAGUCAACAAACAUCCAUUGAGUUUAGAAUGUUGACGGUGAGGUAAUAAUGGGAGUGGAAAUAAGAGUGAAACAAGCAAAGAGAUGACCAAUACUGGAUAGUGGGAACAAAGCAGACCACCAGACAAAAUUCACCAUGAAUAAUCAACCUUGCAGAGAAGUGGGGAAAUGGACCAUUGAACUUAAAGGAAAUCUGCAUUCUAGUCCUAUACAGUUCUGGAUGACUUGGAACACAUUCCCUCUUCUCAAGGAAUUUCAAACUUCUCAUUUGAAAAACAGAAAUAACAAUAACUGAGAAGUCUAUAUGUUGUCAUGAUGAUUAAAAAGAGGAGACUUGAAAAGCACUGUAAAAAUUCAUUCAUUCAUUCAUUCAUUUGACAAAUAUGUAUUAGGACCCUGUUAUAAGCAACUCAUUUCUUGAAUGGUGAUUUAGGGCAGCAGAUAAAUAAGACAUUCAAGAACUUUACUGUCUGGUAUGAGUAAGAAGGCAUGCACAAAUGAAUA